rnacentral:rRNA from 1 species
UACGAGGGGGGCGAGCGUUGUUCGGAAUUAUUGGGCGUAAAGGGUGCGUAGGCGGUUUGAUAAGUCUUGUGUGAAAUCUCUGGGCUCAACCCAGAGUCUGCAUAGGAAACUGUCGGGCUUGAGUAUGGGAGAGGUGAGUGGAAUUUCCGGUGUAGCGGUGAAAUGCGCAGAUAUCAGGAAGAACACCCGUGGCUAAGGCGGCUCUCUAGUACGGUACUGACGCUGAGACGCGAAAGCGUGGGGAGCGAACAGG